GGGGCAGUAGCUCAGUGGUAGAGUUCCGGCUUCGUAUGCGAGGAGGCUUGGGUUCGAUUUCCGGCUGCUUCC
rnacentral:tRNA from 1 species